GGGAAUUUUCCGCAAUGGGCGAAAGCCUGACGGAGCAACGCCGCGUGUGGGAGGAAGGUUUUAGGACUGUAAACCACUUUUCUCAGGGAAGAAGAUCUGACGGUACCUGAGGAAUAAGCAUCGGCUAAUUCCGUGCCAGCAGCCGCGGUAAUACGGGAGAUGCAAGCGUUAUCCGGAAUUAUUGGGCGUAAAGCGUUCGUAGGCGGUUCAACAAGUCUGUUGUCAAAGGUCGCAGCUUAACUGCGGAAAGGCAAUGGAAACUGUGGAGCUAGAGUGUGGUAGGGGUAAGGGGAAUUCCCAGUGUAGCGGUGAAAUGCGUAGAUAUUGGGAAGAACACCAGCGGCGAAAGC
rnacentral:rRNA from 1 species